CCCCUAGAUGUUCUGGGCCGCACGCGCGCUACACUGAACAGUUCAACAAGUCUUAACCUUGGCCGAUAGGUCUGGGUAAUCUUUGAACGCUGUUCGUGAUUGGGAUAGACCUUUGCAAUUAUGGGUCUUCAACGAGGAAUUCCUAGUAAACGCAAGUCAUCAGCUUGCAUUGAUUACGUCCCUACCCUUUGUACACACCGCCCGUCGCACCUACCGAUUGAAUGGUCCGGUGAAUAAUUCGGACCGGUGAGCUUCCAGGUUUACCUGGCUGCUUGCUGGAAAGUCUAGUGAACCUUAUCACUUAGAGGAAGGAGAANUCGUAACA
rnacentral:rRNA from 1 species